ACUGAUUGGGGGUAAGGGUGCAAAGGUGCGGUAAGAGCGCACCAGCAGUAUCGAGAGGUACUGGCUCGGUAAACCCCGGUGGGGAGCAAGGUGGAGGGACAAAGGUUGGUCUUUUUCCUGUCCCGUUUUUAGGAACCGCUUGAGGUAAUUGGUGACAAUUAUCCCAGAUAGAUAACCUCUAUUCCAACAAAGGUAAAAGCGAUUUUACUGCUGUUGGGAAAUACAGAAUUCGGCUUAUGUCUGACUCUCUCC
rnacentral:RNase_P_RNA from 1 species